AUUGAACGCUGGCGGCAUGCCUUACACAUGCAAGUCGAACGGCAGCACGGGAGCAAUCCUGGUGGCGAGUGGCGAACGGGUGAGUAAAGUAUCGGAACGUGCCCCGUCGUGGGGGAUAACGUAGCGAAAGUUACGCUAAUACCGCAUACGGUCUAUGGGUGAAAGGGGGGGAUCGCAAGACCUCGCGCGAUUGGAGCGGCCGAUAUCAGAUUAGGUAGUUGGUGGGGUAAAGGCCCACCAAGCCGACGAUCUGGAGCGGGUCUGAGAGGACGACCAGCCACACUGGGACGGAGACACGGCCCAGACUCCUACGGGAGGCAGCAGUGGGGAAUUUUGGACAAUGGGCGAAAGCCUGAUCCAGCCAUGCCGCGUGCAGGAUGAAGGCCUUCGGGUUGUAAACUGCUUUUGUACAGAACGAAAAGGACUGCCCUAAUACGGUGGUCCCAUGACGGUACCGUAAGAAUAAGCACCGGCUAACUACGUGCCAGCAGCCGCCGUAA
rnacentral:rRNA from 1 species